GAGUUUGAUCGUGGCUCAGGAUGAACGCUGGCGGCGUGCUUAACACAUGCAAGUCGAACGAUGAUCCCAGCUUGCUGGGGGAUCAGUGGCGAACGGGUGAGUAACACGUGAGUAACCUGCCCUUGACUCUGGGAUAAGCCUGGGAAACUGGGUCUAAUACCGGAUAUGACCUUCCAUCGCAUGGUGGUUGGUGGAAAGCUUUUGUGGUUUUGGAUGGACUCGCGGCCUAUCAGCUUGUUGGUGAGGUAAUGGCUUACCAAGGCGACGACGGGUAGCCGGCCUGAGAGGGUGACCGGCCACACUGGGACUGAGACACGGCCCAGACUCCUACGGGAGGCAGCAGUGGGGAAUAUUGCACAAUGGGCGCAAGCCUGAUGCAGCGACGCCGCGUGAGGGAUGACGGCCUCGGUUGUAACGUCUUCUAGUAGGUAGAGACGAAGUAGACGGUA
rnacentral:rRNA from 1 species